rnacentral:rRNA from 1 species
GUGGGGAAUUUUGGACAAUGGGCGCAAGCCUGAUCCAGCAAUGCCGCGUGCAGGAAGAAGGCCUUCGGGUUGUAAACUGCUUUUGUACGGAACGAAACGGUCCGGGUUAAUACCCUGGGCUAAUGACGGUACCGUAAGAAUAAGCACCGGCUAACUACGUGCCAGCAGCCGCGGUAAUACGUAGGGUGCAAGCGUUAAUCGGAAUUACUGGGCGUAAAGCGUGCGCAGGCGGUUUUGUAAGACAGGCGUGAAAUCCCCGGGCUCAACCUGGGAAUUGCGGUUGUGACUGCAAGGCUGGAGUGCGGCAGAGGGGGAUGGAAUUCCGCGUGUAGCAGUGAAAUGCGUAGAUAUGCGGAGGAACACCGAUGGCGAAGGCAAUCCCCUGGGCCUGCACUGACGCUCAUGCACGAAAGCGUGGGGAGCAAACAGGAUUAGAAACCCCAGUAGUCC